rnacentral:lncRNA from 1 species
GGAACAAGUGAAGGUUUUGUUCGUUGUAGGUGGUUUCCGGCGAUGGUGGUUGCGAAGCGGAAGGAGUUCGCCGGCCGAACGGUGUUGUUGUCGUUGGAAGCUUCUCACAGCGAAUGGUUAUGAGCGGUGCGGUUAGAGUGGAUCAAGGUUUAUGGAGAGAAAGGUUUAUCGAAGGAUGUGGUGUGGGUUUCCGCGACGUGGAAGGCGGAGAGGAAGAAGGAGAAGGUUGGGUUUUGGCGGUGUAGAAAGGGUGUACGUUUGGGAUUUCGCAGCGACGAGAUGAAGAGUAAAGGGGUUGUGCGUUAGUUCAAAGAAGACACGUGGUGAUGGGUAUUGUGAAGAAGAAAAGGAACAAUCUAUUUUUUCUUUUCUUUAUUUUUUUUGUUUAUGCUCAACAGAGAGAGAGUUCUAAAGGAGAGUAUUGCUUUUUUUAAGAGUUUUUUCUUUCUUUGUUUUCUAGUGACCAGAGAGAGCCGUAGAGAGAUAAUGGAGACCGUCGGGGUGGCUACCUGUCAUCCGUUGAUUUGGGGAUUUUUCCUUCUUUUUAGCAAAAAAUCCCAUGAGAUAAGAAUGGAUAAUUUGUUAGUUGUCCGCCUCACAGCUGGCACCGAGUGUAUGGAAGGAGUGGUAUUUUCAUUUUGACAUUCUUUAUUAUUAGUAACUUAAUUAAUAUUUAAUUUUUGAUUGGAUAACAAUAUGUACAUGGAUUGCAAACUUAGAUCUUGAUUAAUUUAAAUCAAUGGUCAAGAUUGAAUCAAAGAAACACAAAUAAUUCAAAAUAUCUACCGUGCCCUUCUAGAUGAUUUAAUUGAUUCAAAACAAAUUUAAAUCAACCAAAUCAAAUAAAAUUCAACUUUCUAAAUACCUAUGAUAAAAAUAAAAUGAGAACAUGGAAAUUUAUAUUUAUUUCUUUUGAACAUUUUGGUGAAGAAUAAAAAUAAAAUGACUGGAAAUGAAUAAAAGUCUGGCAAAAAUUUGCUCAAAAAAUUAAAUCGGAUGCACUAAAAUGAUCAGCACGAAAUAUACUUAUUGAAAAAAUACAGCGUUUCUUUAAAUUCUAAAAUAAAUUUUCACCGGUUAAAAGGCUUAAACGGAUUAAAUUGCAGCUGAAAAAGUCGUUAAAAAAUAUAACAAGCAUAACAGGUUGAACUACGCGAACUGUAGAUUAAUAAUACUGGCGUCUGCAAGUUUAAUUUCGAAACCUUUUAUCCGCUGAUUUUACACGUACUCGAGGAAUGAUUUAACCAAAAUUGUAUGUAUUUUCAAGAAUCUAUUCCGACUGAUAUUUUAGAUAUUAUUAAUGAUGAAAUACAUGUUAUGUUGUACAACUGAUGCAAAUUGAAAUAAAAAUUGAAUUUAUGAAAUUUUUAAAAUGCCCGGACAAAAUUGGGGUAUGACAGCUGCCCCUAUUUAAUUAACUUGAACUAGAAGGUAAGAAUGAAAGCAGUCUGCAUACAUUCAUGGUGGACGAUAAUUAAAUAUGAAAAGACUCGGAUUUUGCCCUUUGAAAUUCAAGGAAGAAAUGCAGAAAAAUGCAGUGAGAAAUGCGGUGAGAAAAGUUUAUUAGAAUGUGAAAUGAAACAAUCAAGGCUCUCCGGGAAUUAUCAGAACAGUAUCUUGGAUGUCACAAUCGAGAUAUUCCAAUAAUGGAAUGAUACCUCAACUGUAUGUAAGAUUUUCUGAAAAUCAGCAGAACAACGUCUUGAUUUGAAUGCAAGAGAUUCUUUGGGGUCAAUGGAAAAACAUCUUAUAUGAUAGAAUUAAGAUAUUCCGAACAAGGGAAUGAUACCUUAAUUAAAUCUAAGACUUUUUGAGGAUUAGCAGAACAUUGUCUCUAAAAAUGAAUGAUACUCUUCAUAUUAAUGAAGCAGCAUCCCAAACAGCAAAAUGAGACUCUCUGUAUCGAAUCGAAGCAGCAUCUUAUAUGAUAGAAUUAAGAUAUUCCGAACAAGGGAAUAAUACCUUAAUUGAAUCUAAGACUCUUAAAGGAUACUAGAGCCGUAUCUCUAAAAAAUCUGGAAUGAGACUCUUCAUAUUGAUGAAGCAGCAUCUCAAACAACAAAAUGAGAUUCUCUGUAUCGAAUCGAAGUAGCAUCUUAUAUGAUAGAAUUAAGAUGUUCCAGUCAAAAGGAAUGAUAUAUUAAUUGAAUCUAAUACUCUUCAAGGAUACUAGAGUCGUAUCUCUAAAAAUGAAUGAAACGCUUCAUAUUGAUGAGGCAGCGUCUCAAACAGUAACAUGAGAUUCUCUAGAUCGAAUCGAAGCAGCAUCUUAUAUGAUACAAUUAAGAUAUUCCGAACAAGGGAAUGAUACCUUAAUUAAAUCUAAGACUCUUCAAGGAUACUAGAGUAGUAUCUCUAAAAAAUUUGGAAUGAGACUCUUCAUAUUGAUGAAGCAGCAUCUCCAACAGCAAAAUAAGAUUCUUUGUAUCGAAUCAAAGCAGCAUCUUAUAUGAUAGAAUUAAGAUAUUCCAGUCAAAAGAAUGACAGCUUAAUUGAAUAUUCAAGGAUACUAGAGCAGUAUCUUUAAAAAUGAAUGAGACUCUUCAUAUUGAUGAAACAACAUCUCAAACAGCAAAAUCAGAUUCUCUGUAUCGAAUCGAAGCAGCAUAAUGAUAAAAUUAAGGUAUUCCAAAUAAAGGAAUGAUACCUUAAUUGAAUCUAAGACUCUUCAAGGAUACUAGAGAAGUAUGUCUAAAAAUGAAUGAGACUCUUCAUAUUGAUGAAACAACAUCUCAAACAGCAAAAUGAGAUUCUCUAUAUCGAAUCGAAGCAGCAUCUUAUAUGAUAUAAUUAAGAUAUUCCGAACAAGGGAAUGAUACUUUAAUUGAAUCUAAGACUCUUCAAGGAUACUAGAGAAGUAUCUCUAAAAAAUAUGGAAUGAGACUCUUCAUAUAGCAGCAUCUCAAACAGCAAAAAUGAGAUUCUCUAUAUCGAGUCGAAGCAGCAUCUUAUCUGAUAGAAUUAAGAUAUUCCAGAAUAAAGGAAUUAUGUCUUAAUUGAAUCUAAGACUCUUCGAGGAUACUAGAGCAGUAUCUCUAAAAAAAUCUGGAAUGAGACUCUUCAUAUUGAUGAAGCAGCAUCUCAAACAACAAAAAGGAGAUUCUCUGUAUCGAGUCGAAACAGCAUCUUAUCUGAUAGAAUUAAGAUAUUCCAUACCAAAGGAAUGAUGUCUUAAUUGAAUCUAAUACUCUUCGAGGAUACUAGAGCAGUAUCUCUUUAAAAAAUCUGGAAUGAGACUCUUCAUAUUGAUGAAGCAGCAUCUCAAACAGCAAAAAUGAGAUUCUCUGUAUCGAGUCGAAGCAGCAUCUUAUCUGAUAGAAUUAAGAUAUUCUAGACCAAAGGAAUGAUACCUUAAUUGAAUCUAAGACUCUUCACGGAUACUAGAGUAGUAUCUCUAAAAAAUGAAUGAGACUCUUCAUACUAAUGAAGCAACAUCUCAAACAGAUAAAUGAGAUUCUUCAAAUACAUGAAGCAGUAUCUCACUGUUCGUCUGUUGGGGAAAAUAUUUUAGAAAAGACUCCCUUUGGAGGAAGUUUACUAGAAAUGCUCUGCAGGGGAAAAGCUCAUAAGAGACUUUUUAGAGUAACCUCUGCUUAUAGAGCAAUAAUAGCAAAGAUGCUAGGGGAAUAUCAUUAUUAAUUAUAAAAUUGAAAAAGUGGCUUGCCGGGAAAUGAUUCCACGAGCGCAUGCAGGGUAAUAACUUUAUUUGGAAAUGUGGAAUGUCUAAGAUAUACAUGAAUGACCUUGGAUCCUGAUAUUUUAUGUUUGAUUUUUUGUACGAUGUUCCACUUUGGGUGGAAAUACCAUGCAUGGGAGGAUGCAUGAGAUGCACGCAAUAUGCAAUGGUUGGGGAUAUUUAGGAUGUGCAUGUAGGAAUGCGAAUGAUUUUGUUCGUUCUUUGAUGAAAUUCCCAUUUUGUGGGAGUGUUAUGCAUGAGUAUGUUGAUGAUUGAUAUGACGGUAUUUUUUUUUAAUUUUCUGUUUGGUAGGAAAACCAUUUAUGAAUGAUUCAUAUGAUGCAUGUUAGAAUGCAAAUGGGUAACUGGAUAUUUUUUGUAGGAUUUUUAUUUUGUUUCCAAUGAGAUAUUGUUGGGGAAUAUCAUCAUCAAAGGGUUGAUGGAAAAUAAUUUGUCAUCGUCAAAGGGUUGACGGGAAGAAGUAAAGGAUGGCAUCACUAAAGGGUUGGUGGAAAAGGAAUUAUAUGUAGUAUCAUCGUCAAAGGGUUGACAGAAAGAAACUUCACUAUGGAGUGGCAUCAUCAAAGGGUUGAUGGGAAUGUAUUUGUCAUCGUCAAAGGGUUGACAGAAAAAGAUUGUCAUCAUCAGAGGGCUGAUGGAAAAGAAAUUAUAUAUGUAAUAUCAUCGUCAAAGGGUUGACGGAAUAUAAUUGUCAUCAUCAGAGUGCUGAUGGAAAAGAGUUUGCCAUCGUCAAAGGGUUGAUGGAAAGAAAAAGUCAGGUUAUGUCCUCAUCAAAGGGUUGAUGGGAAGGAUUUAUUAUGUUAUGUAUGCGUAUGAUGCAUGUUAAAGAGAAUUUCUCAGUUUUGUGAGAGAGAUUUUUGAUAUGCAACUUCCUUAUUUGGAAGGAAAGUCAUGUGUGUUUAUUGUAUGCAGUGCAUGUUGUAAUGCAAGAUGAAUGUUAACUGUCUUCAGAUCGAUCUCCCUUUUUGAAGGUGAGACUUUCUGAGUACCAAUGUUGAUUGGACUUGAGUUUAUGAAGAUGCCAGCAAAGUGGACUUUUUAUUUUUGGUAGUUGCCAAUAUGGAUUGGACUUUUGGUUGGAGAUGCCAAUAGAGAUUGGACUUUGGUUUUGGAGAUGCCAAUAGGGAUUGGACUUUGGUUUUGGAGAUGCCAAUAUGGAUUGGACUUUGGUUGGAGAAAGGUUUUGACUUCCCGACACUCGAUCUUUUAACGAUGUAAUGAUUGCAGGAUAAAUAUGGACGCUCUUGAUGCCCCAAGUUUGAUCCUUCACUCAUAGACUGUGUGUUUCUUCUUGAGGGAAACUCCACUUCUUUGUCUGGUAUGCCUUGAUGGCUUGCAAAUGAGCGUAGCGACGUAAUCAAUGCAUGAUGAUUGUGUUUUUUCUCUACCCCAAGGCUCUUUGCAACUUUUAUGUCCCGGCUUGUAGGGUCUUUUAAGGAAUUCACCUUUUGAAAGGAAACCCUGGGAAUAGUUAUACCAUGGCUUAAACCAAUUCUUCCCCAGCGUAUGAAUCUUUCAGUAGUUUGCCCCUGAUUGAGAUUUUGAAAGGCUUCCCCCGGAUUGACUGAAUAUUUUGAAAUUAUUUGCCUCUUUGAUCCACUAAUGCUUGGGGAUUUUUUGACUGACCAAUUCAUAAUCAUUGGAUACCAUGCUCCUAAUCCAUAGGGUUAGGAAGUAGUCUUGAUUUGGGUCAGCAUUGACGAAUGAUCAAGUCCUUCUCUGAUUGCUUAUUUGAGGUUUCCUUGAUGUCAAGUACUUACUUGUAGUUAAAAUUGUUCAUUUAAUCAAUGGUAAUUUUAAUGUGACAUUCAUGCAGGUUUGAAAAAUCAUUUAUUGAGGUGAUGUGAUAGUGUCUGACGAAUAAACCAUUAGUUCUAAUGCAUUGCUGAUUUAGCUAGUGUGUGAAAGAUACAGCGAGAAUAUGAUGCCAAUAUAGGUGACUAGCAAACAUUUAGGAGUCAGUUCACGCAACCUUGUUGUAGUAUGCUUUUAGAAUAAACCCUACCUCAAUUAGGUCUUUUAAGGGUUGUAACGUGGCUUGGUUCAUGGUUAUUGAAACAAAGGAUGUAAGGCUCAAGAUUGUUUUAACCCACUCCUUCUUCAUGAUGAUCUCCAACCCUACGCUCAAUUAAUUCAACAUACACAUUCAUCCUUUUGAAGGUGCAAGGAUAAAGAUGGUAAUUCAAGGUCUCUUACAAUGGCAGCCACCAAAUUUCGUUUUUGGAUAUCGAUGAUCCCUUUGAUUUUGGUAUGGUGGUCACUGAAUUUUGUUUUGCUUUUGCUGAGGCUUCUCGUGACCUCUUUUGAUUUUUGUCUUGAUCCCUAACUUUUGCCUGGACCACUUUUUAAAACUUUUAGUCCACCGGGAUUACCCCUGUUUUUGCCUGAGUCACCCUUUUGAGGUAUUCGACUUAGCGAGCUCUUUCUUUGAUUUUUUGGAAAAUUAUGACUACCAAGUCAUUGGUCAUUGAAGAACAAUCGACAUAACUUUAGGACUUUGAAUGGUUCUUCGACACUUUAGGACGUAAUAUAAAGAACAUCAUGUGGUUGAUCCACAGACGGGAUGUAUUAUCUUGUAAUUUGAAUGUGUAGUCAGAUUAACUGAACACUACCCUGCCCCAGGUUAAAUGUAAGGGUUUGUAGAUCCGAAAGAAACUCUUACUUCUAGGCUCGAAGCGGUUGACUAGGGAUUAACUCCUUAUCUCUCCAGUGUUUGGGGAUUUGAAACAAUGCAUGUAUAUCAUCAGUAGGAUUUUAUCCAAAAGCAUACAAACAACAAUUAUGAGUAUUUUGUUUUCUUCAUCCUCCCUUCAAUCUUUGCUAAAAUAACAAUUUGAUAAGUGGAUGGGAGUAAUAUUUUUAUAUAUUUUUUUUUAUAUAAGUGGAAAAGAUGAGUGAAUACGAAAGGAUUCGUUCAAAACAUGCAUAAUGAUUUCAUUAAUAUUACCAUUAAAGGAAAGCAACAAUACUUGAAAGCAGAUAAGUACUUUAACAUGCAAAGAAAAAAAACACAUGAAAUACUAGAAAUAUCCAAAUGGUUUCCAGUGCCGAGGAAGCUUUCUCGUGUCUGGUUCACUGCUGGGCUAGCCUUCUUCAGCAUAGUGGUAGUUCUGCUCAUCGAAACUCAUAUGAUAAUCAUUUUCAGACCUACUCUCGGAAAUCUCUUCCAUUGUUUGGACUGAUGGACCCGCACAACUAGGUGAAGGAGUACUACUAAUUUUCAAGCUUCAAGGCGCAAAUGAGAACAUCUUGGAUUCAAGCAGGGUUUGUACUUUACUCUUGAGCACCUUACAGUCAUCAGUUGAAUGCCCAUGUGCCCCAGCAUGGAAUUCACAUCGGACGUUGGCAUCAAAACCUAAUGGAUAUGGAGGACUUACUGGUUUUAGCUCCUUUGACAUUAUCAGUCCUCUCUCAAUCAAAUACGGAAGUACUUGACUGUAUGGCAUUAGAAGCAGGUCGAUGUAUCUCUCUGGCUUCCUUCACCUUUGUUGAGCAAGCAGGCGAUGUUGAUGCAGAGUAUUCUAGCGCUUGUCUGGUUACUAAGAUGGAAUCUGUCAUUGGUACUGAGGAGAUCCUUGAUUUGCAGGAUGAUGACCAUAAGGAGAGGAUGAUCUCUGAUAUGGAGCUUGUGAGAUUUCCCAGACUGCAUUAAUUUCAGCCUCUUCUUCCUUUUGGGAACUAACAAUAGAUUCAUUUUCAAGGCCCUGGCUAUUUGAGGCGCAUUGGAUUCUUCCCCUUUUAAGGCCAUACUCGAUGCGUUCUCCGAUUGAUACCAAAUGAGUGAAGUCUGACGAUGCACUGCUAAUCAUCCUUUCGAAGUAAGGACUUUGCAAGGUAUCUCAGAAUAAUUCCAUCAAUUCCUUGUUUAAGAGAGGUGGUUCAACACAAGCCGCUAACUCCCUCCAUCCUUGGGCAUACCCUCUGAAGGAUUCGUUGUCUUCCUGAGAUAAGGCUCUUAGUUGCAUGCGGUCGGGAGCUAUGUCCAUAUUAUAUUUGUAUUGCUUCAAGAAUGCGUUAGCUAGGUCCAACCAUGAUUGAACAUGAUUCCUUUCUAACUUCAUGUACCAAGUUAAUGAUGCCCCAGUCAAACUGUCCUGGAAAUAGUGAAUCAUCAACUUAUCAUCGUGGGCAUGAGAGGUUAUUUUUCGACAAAACAUCACCAAAUGGUGCUUUGGACAACCAUCCUUUUUGUACUUCUCAAAUUCCGGUGCUUUGAAUUUUGCGGGUAUAACUAGGUCAGAUACCAAACACAUGUCUAAGGAAUUCAGUCCAACAGUAUCUUGUCCUUCUAUGGCCUUGAGUCUUUUCUCUAGCAUGUGACACCUUUUAGCAAUCUCAUCAUCUUGUGGUUGUUCAGUAUUAACCACUAGGAUUGUUCCAUGAGAAUCUGGCACGAAGAAUGCAAAGUUGUGAUACUCAACAACAUCAUGAUGUGAGGGACCCCCAUCUUGAAUGAUAUGACGUUCUUGUACCACAAAGUUAUCAACUGGGGUUCGCAUUGAUUGAGGUUGGGUAGGACCAUUUACUGGAGCUGGCAUAACAUUCUCAACCGCUGUAGUCUGCUGAAUGUUAUCCUCUCUCUUUGCUAAAGCUAUCAUAGCCUCCACAAGUUGGUCUAUCUGGUUUUUCAUCGAAUCCACAUCUCCUCUCAGUGCAAUAUGGCUUUGCUCCAACGGAUUCAUGAUCUUUCGAGAGCUACUUCAAGUCCGAUAUGAGUGUCGGGAAAUCAACUGCAGGUUAUGGAUGAAGGAUAAAUGAGUUUUUUUGUAUAUAUUUUUUGUGAAAAAUGAUAUGCGAUGCAUGUGUAUGAAUGUAGUGACAUGUUUAGGAUUACAGGUUCAAAGUUUUCUCAGAGGAAUCAGAAUAACGGGUAAAUGACGGGUAUCUCUGAUUAAUGUAACCCCAUGGGUAAGCUCUACAGUUGGCAGGUUCCUAGAGUCACAGAUAUUUCUUGAGGACGUCACUGCCGUGACGAAGACUCGUCGGAAAAUAAUAUCCUUAAAAAGAUCUCGUCUAGGUGAGGUCUUCAUAUUAUCCCAACAAGGAAGGCUCCUUGGGGAUUCUACUAUACAACUCUCGAGUCCAAGGUUCUAACAAGGUUCUCAGAGUCAUAGAUCGAGGUUGGAAAUAUUACUGUAAGAUAGUAAUACGAGGUUCCCUAGAGUAGACUAACCCCGAAAGCAUAAUUGGGUUGUUGUCUGAAACUUCGUAGGUUAAUACUACAUAACCGCCAGAUAUAGUGGGUUAAAAGGUCCCUAGAGUCAUUGAUCCAACUUGAAAAUACUAUCGUCGUGACGAAGACUCGUCGGACAAUACUAUCUCAAGAGAAUCUCCUCUAGGCGGGGUCUUCGUAUCGCCCCAACAAGGAAGACUCCUUGUAGGCGUCCACUACACAACCACCAUCUUAAUCCUAUGGUUUUUCUCAGACUCGGGUAGAGAGCCUAUCUCAUAGAGCACCAUUAACUAGAGAGCCCCAGAUAAGACAUAGUCAACAAAUCACAAUACAAUAAUUAUGAUAGAAUAAUAACAAAAUAAAGAUAACAAACAAACAAGUUUAACACUCAAUACAUGAAUUAAAAUUAGUUAGGAUUCACUCUCUCUUGCUUGAAGUUGAUUUCCCCAGCAUAGUUGCCAUCUGUCGCAUCUCGAAAAAUGUGAUUCCUCGCGAUGGUCGUAGAAAAAAUUAUGUUCGAACAGAGUCGCCACUGAACUUUAUUUAUUCCAAUGAAGGAAUAGGAAAAUAUCGAUAAAACCUUUUAAAAAUGGAAUAAUGGUCGUCGCAACCAUAUUCGGGUUUGGGAGUCGAUUACGCAAGGGGAAUGUAUUAGCACCCCUCACGUCCGUUGUACUCAACGGGAACCUUUUAGUUUAAUUUGCGAUUUGAAUGUUAACUUAUGUUGUUUGUUUUCUUCGAGUGAUAAUAAAAUUGAAUAUAGAUGGAUAGGAACCUCAGAAGGGAGAAAAGGGAGGUUCUUUAUUAGUGUGCUCGCCAAGAUCUCGCAAUCUCGUGCCUACGUAUCGUUACGGUGCAAUAAGGAAAUCAGAGCAUUCGUAGUUCCGGGAACUACGGUUGGUUGGUGUAUUUUACCGAACAGUUGUUUAGAUCGCGUUCUAAAGGCUAAACGUUGGCUUGUCUACUCUCGGCGGAGGCUUAAGCACUAGUUUGUUAUGCGCAUUAGAAAGGAUUAAACAAUGUUCUUUCUAAAAAGUGUUUUGGUCACACGGGGGUGACAAGUUGAGUUAAUAUGUUUGAUGUGUUGUAUGGUUGGUUUCGAUCGCACGGGGGCGGGGCGAGGAUAGAUAGAUUUGAUGUGUUAAGAUAUUUUUAGUUGGAUGACGAUUACUCGGAUAAUCGAGUAGGACAACUCGUAUCCUAAUAGACGAGGAGAGGAAUCGAAGGCUCUAAACCAUCUCCUUUUUUAUCCUUAAUUUGUAAAAGGAGUUUGAUAAUAGUUAAGGUGCUUUAAAUGGAUGAUGAUUACUCUGACAGUCGAGUAAGACAACUCGUAUCCUAAUAAUCGGAAAAGGGAAUUGAAGACUCUAGACCACUUUCUUUUUCAUCCGAGUGUUUAUGAAAAUAGGUUUACGUAUGGUUGAUAUGUUUUAAGGUAAACGACAAAUAUUCGAAUGACUAAGUAAGAGAACUCAUAUCCAAACAUUUUAGGAGAGGAAUCGAAAACUCUAGACCAUCUCCCUUUUUGUAUAGUUUAUUAUGAGAAUGCUUGAUUGAGUUAUAAGUUUGUGGAAAAACGACAAUUGUUGGACUAACCGAGUAAGAGAACUCGUAUUCAAACAAUUGAAGAGAGAAGUUGAAGGCUCAAAGUCAUCUCCCUUUUCAUUUAACUUAUUAUAAGAGUAUUUUGAUUUAAUAGGGUUUAGAAAUUUGUAGAGAAACGACAGUUGUCUAACUGACCGAGUAAGAGAACUCGUAUUCAAACAUUUGGGGAGAGGAGUUGAAGGCUCAAAACCAUCCCCCUUUUCAUUUAGUUAUUAUGAAAAUAAUUUGAUUUCAGUAAGCUUAGGCGAGUUAGAAAUGACAAUUAUUUGACUAACCGAGUAAGAGAACUCGUAUUCAAAUAAUCGAGGAGAGGAGUUGAAAACUCAAAACCAUCCCCCUUUUCAUUUCUAAACAGAAUAAUAUUUAAUCGUGGUUUAGGUAUUUCAAUUAGCUUGAAUAAAAAUACUCGAUAUGGGAUCGAGAUUUUAAAUUUGUAUUUAUGGAUAAAUUGGAUCAUUUUGGUGUAUCAAUCAUCUACUCGAUUAAUUAAUAACCGAAUAGGUCUCAUUGUAAGAAAGCCCAAGAGUAAGCUAUGUGAGGUUGAUGGCGAUGCUUUAAAAGCAAUCGGCUUACAAAUGCAUUUAGAAAUGGGCUUGAUAUUAAAUGGAGAAUUGUGUGAUUUUUAAUGAUUAUGAGUCGAGGAUGAAAUGGUUUUGAAAUGAUGUGAAGUUGAAUAGAAUCGGGCAUGUAUCAUGAUAGUGAAACAAAUCGGUCCAUUUUUAAUUAACAAAAUUAAUUGAUUAAUCAAAUUAAUUAAGAUUAAUUAUCAGAAUUAUUUAAUUGGAUCAAAUAAUCAAGCUAAUUAAAAUUAAUUAAUCGUAAUUAAACUAUUUAAGCAAAACUUUAAUUAAUUAAUCAAUUUAAUUAGAAGAGAAAGAAAAUAAGUGAUAAUAUUGAUUUAAUCGGUAUGAGUUGAUGAAGAUGUGCUCGGAAUCGGUUUGCGCGUGAUGACAACAUGAUUAAUGUCAUACGCAAAUUCAAAACGCGGUGAAAAUAUUCUAUUGAUAUAUCUGGAAUUUAGCGGCCUAUCGGCAUGAAAUUGCCGAAUUCGUGGAUUAAAAGAAUCUGAUUUAAAACACAAGUGAAGUAACAUAGCAAUAACUACACAAUAUUUAUAUAUUUACAAUACUCGUGUUGGCGACGGCUUCCAAAUUCAACACUCAUGUUGGUAUCCAAUUAAACUGAAAACUCAAUAUGUAAAAAAUAAAUGGAGGCAUGUGGCAAUAGGCUUAUAGUCCAAUGAAAAAAAAAUCAAACAAGGUUUUAAUGUCCCUUAGAGAGUCUUAUUAUAUAAUUUUAUUUACUAUAUAAUAUUCCUCGUGGAUAAAAAAUAUUAUGAUGUAUUUAACUUUUCACAUUAAUUCACUGAUACAUAGCCUUAUGUACAUAGAAAACAAAGCAACCUACAAGCCCAAAUAGUAUGACGCCAUGCUCUAAUCAACCAGGUUCAUCCUAAUUUGGAUAGCAAAGCAAAAAUGACAAAUAAAAGUAAUAAAAUGGGUGCACAUAACAAGCAGGGUAUAUGUAAAUUAGAGUUGCUUGAGGUUGUAAAAAAAUUCAGCCCAAAUGACUUCUAAAUCCCAAAUAGAUUAGUAGGGAUGAAAUAAUAAUAAUAAAAUUAAUUAAGACUUAUGAUGUUCCAGAAUAAUAACAAAGAAAAACACUAAAAUCCACUCCCUCUGAUUUGUAACAUCCCUCUGCUAUUUCAUUUGAGAACAAACAUGACCAUCAAUAAUAUAUAUAAAAAAUAAAAUAAAAUCUAAUGCUCAGGGAUUACCAACAGCAAACACAAUGAUGAAAAAUAACGGUGCGGUGAACUCCGACGUGCGUCAACAGCAGGCAUCAAACCAAUAGAUCCAAACAUGAUUUGAAGAUUACCAACGCCUUGUCAACACGGUGUUGUCGACAUCAUGAAUCCAUGGUUACAUUUGGUUUCAUCAUUUAAAACGACGUCAUCUGGGUUUCAACAUUUCUUCUUCAACCUUCGGAUCUUCUCAACGAGUUCAUUCUCUUCAAAAUCGAGUUGAAGUUUGAGCUUGGCUUGGUUAUUUGAUUGAGUUGCGUCUGGUGACUUAAGGUUGAUGCGGUGGUGUUUGUUGGGCGCGCGAUGGAUGCGCGUGACGGAAGGAAGAAGAGAUGGAACAAGUGAAGGUUUUGUUCGUUGUAGGUGGUUGUCGGCGAUGGUGGUUGCGAAGCGGAGGGAGUUCGCUGGCGGAACGGUGUUGUUGUCGUUGGAAGCUUCUCAUAGCGAAUGGUUGUGAGCGGUGCGGUUGGAGUAGAUCAAGGUUUAUGGAGAGAAAGGUUUAUCAAAGGAUGUGGUGUGGGUUCGGGUGGCGUGGAAGGCGGAGAGGGAGAAGGAGAAGGUUGGGUUUUGGCGUGCAGAAAGGGUGUACGUUUGGGAUUUUGUGACGAUGAGAUGAAGAGUAAAGGGGUUGUGCGUUAGUUAAAAGAAGACGCGUGGUGAUGGGUGUUGUGAAGAAGAAAAGGAACGAUCUCUUUUUUCUUUUCUUUAUGUUUUGUUCUUUUUAUGCUCAACAGAGAGAGAGUUCUUAAAGAGAGUAUUGUUUUUUUAAAGAGUUUUUUCUUUCUUUGUUUUCUAGUGACCAGAGAGAGCCGUUGAGAGAUAAUGGAGACCGUUGGGGUGGCUACCUGUCAUCUGUUGAUUUGGGGAUUUUUUCUUCUUUUUAGCAAAAAAUCCCAUGAGAUAAGAAUUGAUAAUUUGUUAGUUGUCCGCCUCACAGCUGGCACCGAGUGUAUGGAAGGAGUGGUAUUUUCAUUUUGACAUUUUUUAUUAUUAGUAACUUAAUUAAUAUUU